rnacentral:rRNA from 1 species
UACGUAGGGUGCGAGCGUUAAUCGGAAUUACUGGGCGUAAAGCGUGCGCAGGCGGUGACCCAAGUCAGAUGUGAAAUCCCCGGGCUUAACCUGGGAACUGCCAUUGUGACUGCAAAGCUAGAGUGCGGCAGAGGGGGAUGGAAUUCCGCGUGUAGCAGUGAAAUGCGUAGAUAUGCGGAGGAACACCGAUGGCGAAGGCAAUCCCCUGGGCCUGCACUGACGCUCAUGCACGAAAGCGUGGGGAGCAAACAGGAUUAGAUACCCCGGUAGU